rnacentral:rRNA from 1 species
GACGAACGCUGGCGGCGUGCCUAAUACAUGCAAGUCGAGCGAAGUUUUUCUGGUGCUUGCACCGGAAAAACUUAGCGGCGCACGGGUGAGUAACACGUAAAGAACCUGCCUCAUAGACUGGGACAACUAUUGGAAACGAUAGCUAAUACCGGAUAAUAGCAUUACCUGCAUGGUUGAUGUUUAAAAGUUGGUUUUGCUAACACUAUGAGAUGGCUUUGCGGUGCAUUAGCUAGUUGGUGGGGUAAAGGCCUACCAAGGCGACGAUGCAUAGCCGACCUGAGAGGGUGAUCGGCCACACUGGGACUGAGACACGGCCCAGACUCCUACGGGAGGCAGCAGUAGGGAAUCUUCCGCAAUGGGCGAAAGCCUGACGGAGCAACGCCGCGUGAGUGAAGAAGGAUUUCGGUUCGUAAAGCUCUGUUGUUAGGGAAGAAUGAUUGUGUAGUAACGAUACACAGUAGAGACGGUACCUAACCAGAAAGCCACGGCUAACUACGUG